GACGAACGCUGGCGGCGGGCUUAACACAUGCAAGUCGAACGGCAAGGCCCUGCUUUUGUGGGGUGCUGGAGUGGCGAACGGGUGAGUAACACGUGAUUAACCUGCCCAUGACUUUCGGAUAACUUCAGGAAACUGGGGCUAAUACCGGAUAGGAGCUCCUGCUGCAUGGUGGGGGUUGGAAAGCUUCGGCGGUUGGGGAUGGACUCGCGGCUUAUCAGCGUGUUGGUGGGGUAGUGGCUUACCAAGGCUUUGACGGGUAGCCGGCCUGAGAGGGUGACCGGCCACAUUGGGACUGAGAUACGGCCCAGACUCCUACGGGAGGCAGCAGUGGGGAAUAUUGCACAAUGGGCGGAAGCCUGAUGCAGCAACGCCGCGUGCGGGAUGACGGCCUUCGGGUUGUAAACCGCUUUCGCCUGUGACGAAGCGUGAGUGACGGUAAUGGGUAAAGAAGCACCGGCUAACUACGUG
rnacentral:rRNA from 1 species